rnacentral:lncRNA from 1 species
AGUCCGACCUUCCCCCAUAGAUUCAUCCUGACAUCAGGGGAGCAACGUGAACACAGGAAAAUGGAAAUCAACAUUUGAAACUUUUAAAUGGAAGCUUUAUUGGGGUUCCACAUAUGGAAAACUGCAAAUAGCAGAAGUAUGUGACUCAAUAAAUUAUUCUGGAGUGACCACAUCCUCUAACUGCCUCCCAGGACAAGACGGAGAAUGUGAACAAUGCUCCUGAAGGCCCCUUUCCCUCAAAGAAUCACUGCAAUUGAAGGAAAAAUGCUCCAUGUCCCCUCUGCCAGUUGGUGUUUAUCAAAGGACAACGGAGGAAGAGAGACAAAGUGCCUGGAUGUGUGUGUUAAUCAAGAGUUGUCAGGACCCUGCCUCUAAAAGAAAGCGCUAAAAUGAUGCUUUUGACAAGACUUUUCUCAAAGUGGAUGCAGUCUAAGGGUUGGAAAACAAGGCCCAAUCAGGCUAGGUCUGACUUGUCGCCUGCUUUUGUAAAUAAAGUUUUAU